UCCCUGGUGGUCUAGUGGCUAAGACUCUGUGCUCCCAUCCCAGGGGCCUGAGUUCAAUCCCAUUCAGGGAA
rnacentral:tRNA from 1 species